GAUUAGAUACCCUGGUAGUCUACGCCGUAAACGAUGGUUACUAGCUGUUCGGAUCGAUUAAGGUCUGAGUGGCUAAGCGAAAGUGAUAAGUAACCCACCUGGGGAGUACGUUCGCAAGAAUGAAACUCAAAGGAAUUGACGGGGGCCCGCACAAGCGGUGGAGCAUGUGGUUUAAUUCGAUGAUACGCGAGGAACCUUACCAGGGCUUAAAUGUAGAGUGACAGGUCUAGAGAUAGAUUUUUCUUCGGACACUUUACAAGGUGCUGCAUGGUUGUCGUCAGCUCGUGCCGUGAGGUGUCAGGUUAAGUCCUAUAACGAGCGCAACCCCUGUGGUUAGUUGCCAGCGAGUAAUGUCGGGAACUCUAGCCAGACUGCCGGUGCAAACCGUGAGGAAGGUGGGGAUGACGUCAAAUCAUCACGGCCCUUACGUCCUGGGCUACACACGUGCUACAAUGGUGCAUACAGAGAGCAGCCACUUCGCGAGGAGGAGCUAAUCCACAAAGUGCAUCUCAGUUCGGAUUGGAGUCUGCAACUCGACUCCGUGAAGUCGGAAUCGCUAGUAAUCGCGGAUCAGCAUUGCCGCGGUGAAUACGUUCCCGGGCCUUGUACACACCGCCCGUCACACCAUGGGAGUUGGCUGCACCAGAAGUAGGUAGCUUAACCGUAAGGAGGGCGCUUACCACGGUGUGGUCAAUGACUGGGGUGAAGUCGUAACAAGGUACCCGUAA
rnacentral:rRNA from 1 species